rnacentral:sRNA from 1 species
CGCGUCCGCCUCGUGGACGCCGGUGCCCAUCCAAGCCCACUCCCGGUUACUCUGACGCCGUGCCCCCUUGCCCGGUCCGACCGGGGAAGCCGCAUAGCCGACAGCCGUCGCAUCCCAGGGAGCCCUUUCAUG